CCUCCGGGAGGCCGCAGUGAGGAAUUUUCCGCAAUGGGCGAAAGCCUGACGGAGCAAUACCGCGUGAGGGAUGAAGGAUUUUGGUCUGUAAACCUCUUUUCUCAAGAAAGAAGUUCUGACGGUACUUGAGGAAUAAGCAUCGGCUAACUCCGUGCCAGCAGCCGCGGUAAUACGGGGGAUGCAAGCGUUAUCCGGAAUGAUUGGGCGUAAAGCGCCUGUAGGUUGUUUAUUAAGUCCGUUGUUAAAGCCUAGGGCUUAACCCUAGAAAAGCAAUGGAAACUAGUAGACUAGAGUAUGGCAGGGGUAGAGGGAAUUUCUAGUGUAGCGGUGAAAUGCGUAGAUAUUAGAAAGAACACCGGUGGCGAAAGCGCUCUACUGGACCAUUACCGACACUCAGAGGCGAAAGCUAGGGUAGCAAAAGGGAUUAGAUACCCCUGUAGUCCUAGCCGUAAACGAUGGAUACUAGAUGUUGUGCAUUAUGUACAGUAUCGUAGCUAACGCGUUAAGUAUCCCGCCUGGGGAGUACGCUCGCAAGGGUGAAACUCAAAAGGAAUUGACGG
rnacentral:rRNA from 1 species